CGCUGGCGGCGUGCCUAACACAUGCAAGUCGAGCGAAUGAAGUUCCUUCGGGGAUGGAUUUAGCGGCGGACGGGUGAGUAACACGUGGGCAACCUGCCUCAUAGAGGGGAAUAGCCUUCCGAAAGGGAGAUUAAUACCGCAUAAGAUUGUAGUAUCGCAUGAUACAGCAAUUAAAGGAGCAAUCCGCUAUGAGAUGGGCCCGCGGCGCAUUAGCUAGUUGGUGAGGUAACGGCUCACCAAGGCGACGAUGCGUAGCCGACCUGAGAGGGUGAUCGGCCACAUUGGGACUGAGACACGGCCCAGACUCCUACGGGAGGCAGCAGUGGGGAAUAUUGCACAAUGGGGAAACCCUGAUGCAGCAACGCCGCGUGAGUGAUGACGGCCUUCGGGUUGUAAAGCUCUGUCUUCAGGGACGAUAAUGACGGUACCUGAGGAGGAAGCCACGGCUAACUACGUG
rnacentral:rRNA from 1 species